ensembl:ncRNA T21C12.11 ncRNA
CAUCUCCGUACUUCUUCUUCCAAUUUGACGUAAUAUUUGCCAGCAAUUUGCCAGCGAAUAGAUUGAUUACAACACUUUGCUCUCUCGCCUGGAGCCCAUCUCUCUCUCUCGAGCUCUAGCGAAACAAGUGUGUAAGCGAGGUGAUUCGUCAAUUGCAACAAUUUGUCGAAUAUAUACCAAAAGGACC